rnacentral:rRNA from 1 species
GAUGAACGCUGGCGGCGUGCUUAACACAUGCAAGUCGAACGAAGCACUUUAGUUGAUUGGCUGGGGGACUGAUGAUUUUGUGACUGAGUGGCGGACGAGUGAGUAACGCGUGGGUAACCAGCCUGGGACAGGGGGAUAACAGUUGGAAACGGCUGCUAAUACCGCAGAAGCGCACGGCAUCGCAUGAUGCAGUUGGAAAGACUCCGGUGGUAUAAGAUUGACCCGCGGGGGAUGAGCUAGUUGGUGAGGUAACGGCACACCAAGGCGACGAUCCAUAGCCGAGAUGGUAGCCUGCCCCGCCACAUCGGGACUGCGACCCGGACCACUCCCCUACGGGACGCAGCAGUGGAGAAUAUUGCACAAUGGGCGCUAGCGUGAUGCCGCGACGCCGCGUGAGACAACCAGUAUUUCGGAAUGUACAGCCCUAUGAGAAGGGACGAUAAUGACGGUACCUGCAUAAGAAGCACCGGCUAACUACGUG